AUGAACGCUGGCGGCGUGCCUAAUACAUGCAAGUCGAGCGAACAGAUGAGGAGCUUGCUCCUCUGACGUUAGCGGCGGACGGGUGAGUAACACGUGGAUAACCUACCUAUAAGACUGGGAUAACUACGGGAAACUGGAGUUAUUACCGGAUAAUAUAUUGAACCGCUGGUUUCAAUGGUUAAAGUUGGUUUUGUUGUCACUUAAAGAUGGACCCGCGCCGCAUUAGCUAGUUGGUAAGGUAACGGCUUACCAAGGCAACGAUGCGUAGCCGACCUGAGAGGGUGAUCGGCCACACUGGAACUGAGACACAGUACAGACUCCUACGGGAGGCAGCAGUAGGGAAUCUUACGCAAUGGGCGAGAGCCUGACGGAGCAACACCGCGUGAGUGAUGAAGGUCUUCGGAUCGUAAAACUCUGUUAUUAGGGAAGAACAAAUGUGUAAGUAACUAUGCACGUCUUGACGGUACCUGGUCAGAAAGCCACGGCUAACUACGUG
rnacentral:rRNA from 1 species